GACGAACGCUGGCGGCGUGCUUAACACAUGCAAGUCGAACGGAAAGGCCCUGCUUGCAGGGUGCUCGAGUGGCGAACGGGUGAGUAACACGUGGGUGAUCUGCCCCUUACUUUGGGAUAAGCCUGGGAAACUGGGUCUAAUACUGGAUAGGACCAUGCUGUAGGUGGUGUGGUGGAAAGAUUAGUUUCGGUAAGGGAUGAGCUCGCGGCCUAUCAGCUUGUUGGUGGGGUAAUGGCCUACCAAGGCGUCGACGGGUAGCCGGCCUGAGAGGGUGGACGGCCACAUUGGGACUGAGAUACGGCCCAGACUCCUACGGGAGGCAGCAGUGGGGAAUAUUGCACAAUGGGCGCAAGCCUGAUGCAGCGACGCCGCGUGGGGGAUGACGGCCUUCGGGUUGUAAACUCCUUUCAGCCAUGACGAAGCCCUUGUGGUGACGGUGGUGGUAGAAGAAGCACCGGCUAACUACGUG
rnacentral:rRNA from 1 species